rnacentral:rRNA from 1 species
AAAAGGGAAAACAACCCAGACCCACAGCUAAGGUCCCAAAUUUCACUGCUAAGUGGAAAAACCAUUGUGGAAAGGCACAGACAGCCAGGAGGUUGGCUUAGAAGCAGCCACCCUUUAAAGAAAGCGUAAUAGCUCACUGGUCGAGUCGGUCUGCGGGGAAGAUUUAACGGGGCUAAGCAGUGAACCGAAGCUUGGGGUGCAUACUUUGUAUGCGCGGUAGAGGAGCGUUCCGUAAGCCGUUGAAGGUGGAUUGAGAAGUCUGCUGGAGGGUAUCGGAAGUGCGAAUGCUGACAUGAGUAACGAUAAUGCGGGUGAAAAACCCGCACGCCGAAAGCCCAAGGUUUCCUUGCGCAACGUUAAUCGGCGCAGGGUGAGUCGGCCCCCUAAGGCGAGGACGAAAGUCGUAGUCGAUGGGAAGCAGGUUAAUAUUCCUGCACCUCGCGUAAGUGCGAUGGAGGGACGGAGAAGGUUAGGUGUACCAGGCGUUGGUUGUCCUGGGGAAAGGCGGUAGGUUUGGAUCUUUGGCAAAUCCGGGAUCCUCUAAGACCGAGCACCGAGACGAGCCUUUAUGGCGAAGUCACUGAUACCACGCUUCCAGGAAAAGCUCCUAAGCUUCAGCUUACGCAGACCGUACCGUAAACCGACACAGGUGGGUAGGAUGAGAAUUCUCAGGCGCUUGAGAGAACUCGGGUGAAGGAACUAGGCAACAUGGCACCGUAACUUCGGGAGAAGGUGCACCCUUUUUGGUGGCUCGUGCGAGCUAUAGCUGAAGAGGGUCGCAGUAACCAGGCCGCUGCGACUGUUUAUCAAAAACACAGCACUCUGCAAACACGAAAGUGGACGUAUAGGGUGUGACGCCUGCCCGGUGCUGGAAGGUUAAUUGAUGGGGUCAGCCGCAAGGCGAAGCUCUUGAUCGAAGCCCCAGUAAACGGCGGCCGUAACUAUAACGGUCCUAAGGUAGCGAAAUUCCUUGUCGGGUAAGUUCCGACCUGCACGAAUGGCGUAACGACAGCGGCGCUGUCUCCACCCGAGACUCAGUGAAAUUGAAAUCGCUGUGAAGAUGCAGCGUUCCCGUGGCAAGACGGAAAGACCCCGUGAACCUUUACUAUAGCUUUACACUGAACGUUGAGUUCGUCUGUGUAGGAUAGGUGGGAGGCUAUGAAACCAUGGCGCUAGCUGUGGCGGAGCCAUCCUUGAAAUACCACCCUGUCGUGCUUGACGUUCUAACCUGGGCCCAUUAUCUGGGUCGGGGACCGUGUAUGGUGGGUAGUUUGACUGGGGCGGUCUCCUCCUAAAGAGUAACGGAGGAGCUCGAAGGUACGCUCAGCGCGGUCGGACAUCGCGCACUGUGUGCAAAGGCAUAAGCGUGCUUGACUGCAAGAUCGACGGAUCAAGCAGGUAGGAAACUAGGACUUAGUGAUCCGGUGGUUCUGUAUGGAAGGGCCAUCGCUCAACGGAUAAAAGGUACUCCGGGGAUAACAGGCUGAUACCGCCCAAGAGUUCAUAUCGACGGCGGUGUUUGGCACCUCGAUGUCGGCUCAUCACAUCCUGGGGCUGUAGUCGGUCCCAAGGGUAUGGCUGUUCGCCAUUUAAAGUGGUACGCGAGCUGGGUUCAGAACGUCGUGAGACAGUUCGGUCCCUAUCUGCCAUGGGCGUUGGAGAUUUGAGAGGGGCUGCUCCUAGUACGAGAGGACCGGAGUGGACGAACCUCUGGUGUUCCGGUUGUCACGCCAGUGGCAUUGCCGGGUAGCUAUGUUCGGAAGCGAUAACCGCUGAAAGCAUCUAAGCGGGAAGCGCGCCUCAAGAUGAGAUCUCCCGGGGCACAAGCCCCCUGAAGGAACCAUGUAGACUACGUGGUUGAUAGGUCAGGUGUGUAAGUACAGCAAUGUAUUGAGCUAACUGAUACUAAUGAUCCGAGAGGCUUGACCAU